AUCAGAUCAUACGACGAUACGUUGUAUGCCAAGCGCCAUUUUGCCUGGUACCCGCACACUGCACGAAGUUAAAUUCAACUGCUGUUGAAUAGAUCGAGAGGAGAAAUUCUUUUUGUGGCUGGCCAACAAACCAUACAGACUUGCCUCAAUUCAUACGAUUUGGAGAUAAAAGAACACCAAGUCGAACCAAGCAUGCCUGGCAAGAGACGUGCCAAGCGUGGAGGAAUCAAACCACGAGAAAAAAUGACAACUCGAAAAGCGAAGAGUUCAACUGUAAAGUCGUUGGAAGAUGAACCAACACCGGGUUCCACCAUGCGUCCCAAGAGACCAAGACGUUGCAAGGGUGAAGGUA